GCUCAGUGCGGACAGAAACCACACAUAGAGCUAAAGGGCAAAUGCUGACUUGAUCUUGGUGUUCAGUACACAUAGGUACAAUGACUUUUCGGACCUCUCCGAACUUGUUUUACGUGGCGUGUUCCACACUGAA
rnacentral:ncRNA from 1 species